rnacentral:rRNA from 1 species
GACGUACCACCCGAACGUUAUUCGGAUUCACUGGGCUUACAGAGUCCGUAGGCGGUCAAGAAAGUUAGGCGUAAAAUCCCUCAGCUCAACUGAGGAAUAGCGCUUAAAACUACUUGGCUAGAGAGAGUCAGAGGUGAGCGGAACUGAUGGUGGAGCGGUGAAAUGCGUUGAUAUCAUCAGGAACACCGGUGGCGAAAGCGGCUCACUGGGGCUUUUCUGACGCUGAGGGACGAAAGCUAGGGGAGCGAACGGG